GGUGGGGUUCCCGAGUGGCUAAAGGGAGCAGACUGUAAAUCUGAUGUUAUAAUAAACUUCGAAGGUUCGAAUCCUUCCCCCACCA
rnacentral:tRNA from 1 species